UAUAAACAAGGCAGUUUGGCUGCAGGAGGACAGGCAGCAACAUUGCCUGGUUGAAGGGCUGCUGUGAAUGACCUGGAGUACCCAUCUACAAAAGAAUUACAUGAGGAUUGGAAAAGGGCCAACAUUGUGCUCAUCUUCAAGAAGGGGAAGAAGGAGAACCUGGGCAACUGUAAGCCAAUCAGCCUAAACUCCAUCCCAGGGAAAAUCCUGAAAAAUCUCAUUAAAGAAUCUAUGUGUGAUAAGCUUGAGGUUCUGAAGAUUCUGAAUGACAGCCAGCAUAGCUUCAUCACUGUUCCAUUUUAGAAAAUGAAGAUGGGAUGCUUGGGCUUUUUGCAGAGGGGUUCACGCCUCUACAGAAGAUCUUUGUGCAAAAGAUAUUUUCCUACGUGGGAAAUGACAAUCCAACCAUGGCUAUGCAUUACACCUGAUGGGAGAGCCUGACUUGCAACAUUGCUGCUACAUCCUUGGAUGCUCACUAGUGACAUCAGGGUGACUUUACUGAUAUUCUGCAGUACAGAAAAAUCUGCCUCUCUUUCCCCUACAUACCCAUUUGCAAGCAGCAGCCCAACAUGAUAUCCUGCUAUUUUAGCUGCAUGUUGCUUCCAAGUUUCAUCCCUAAAACUUCGUUACUUUUAUAAAAUAUGCAUCAGAACAUUUACAACAACAGAAUGCUGUGAAGUAGUCCCAUGAAUAAUUAAAACUAAACUACACUUGUCAAAUUCAUGAAUAAAGUACAUUGCGUGAU